rnacentral:rRNA from 1 species
AUUGAACGCUGGCGGCAGGCCUAAUACAUGCAAGUCGAACGAGUGGCGGACGGGUGAGUAAUGUCUGGGAAACUGCCUGAUGGAGGGGGAUAACUACUGGAAACGGUAGCUAAUACCGCAUACCAUCAGAUGUGCCCAGAUGGGUGUAGCGAGUUGGUGGGGUAACGGCUCACCAAGGCGACGAUCCCUAGCUGGUCUGAGAGGAUGACCAGCCACACUGGACCUGAGACACGGCCCAGCCUCCUACGGGAGGAGGCAGUGGGGAAUAUUGGGCAAUGGGCGCAACCCUGAGUGAGCCAUGCCGCGUGUAUGAAGAAGGCCUUCGGGUUGUAAAGUACUUUCAUCGGGGAAGCGUUACCCGCCGAGGAAGCCCCGGCUAACUCCGUGCCAGCAGCCGCGGUAAUAC